rnacentral:lncRNA from 1 species
GGGAAGAGGAGCAGAAAGACACACUUUCAAGAAAGAAACACCACAAGCAAAACAAAUCCAGAGAACUGAGGAAAUUAUCCAAUAACUUAGAGGAACUCAGAAGCCAGAAAAAAUGACCAAGACACAGUCUCCAUCUUCAAAAGGUCACAGUCCUUCAGAGAAGACAGACAACUAAAUAAAUUCCAGCUGACUAUAAUGUAAAUAUGUAUAGAAUCAUAUGGAAGCAUACAAGAAAAAGCAAUGAUUUACUUGACAGACAAUGGAAAUUUCAAAGCAAAAAAGUAUAUUUCAUAUGGUUAUUAGGGGAUGAGCACAACUUUGUCAAGCAGACAAAGGAAUAAAAAAUUGCAAAUAACAAUUAUUGAGCUCAUUGGUGCCAGAAACUGUGCUAAGCCCUUUCCACAGAUCAUCUUAUUUAAUCCUCUCAAUAGCCCCAAUGAGGAAGAUGUUUUGAUUAUCUUUACCCAACAGAUGAUGAAACAGGCUUAGAAAGAUGAGUAACUUGCCCAGGAGGGCAUUCCAGGCAUGGAGAAACAUGCAUGCAAGGCACUAUGUGUGAAUAAGUAGGAGGAAUUAGGGAAACUAUAGCAGUUUAAUUGCUUAGGAUGCAAUGCAGGAGGAAUCCUAUGGGAAAAAGGCAAGAAGUUGAGAUAAGGACCAUAUGUGCAAAAGCUAUAUCUAGAGUUUGAAAUAAAUCUAUUAGGCAGC